rnacentral:rRNA from 1 species
AUGAACCUGGAGCUUGCUCCAGGGGAUUAGUGGCGAACGGGUGAGUAACACGUGAGUAACCUGCCCUUGACUCUGGGAUAACCUCCGGAAACGGAAGCUAAUACCGGAUGUGACGCACGGAGGCAUCUCCUGUGCGUGGAAAGAACUUCGGUCAAGGAUGGACUCGCGGCCUAUCAGGUAGUUGGUGAGGUAACGGCCCACCAAGCCUACGACGGGUAGCCGGCCUGAGAGGGUGACCGGCCACACUGGGACUGAGACACGGCCCAGACUCCUACGGGAGGCAGCAGUGGGGAAUAUUGCACAAUGGGCGCAAGCCUGAUGCAGCAACGCCGCGUGAGGGACGACGGCCUUCGGGUUGUAAACCUCUUUUAGUAGGGAAGAAGCGAAAGUGACGGUACCUGCAGAAAAAGCACCGGCUAACUACGUGCCAGCAGCCGCGGUAAUACGUAGGGUGCGAGCGUUGUCCGGAAUUAUUGGGCGUAAAGAGCUCGUAGGCGGUCUGUCGCGUCUGCUGUGAAAACCCGAGGCUCAACCUCGGGCCUGCAGUGGGUACGGGCAGACUAGAGUGCGGUAGGGGAGAAUGGAAUUCCUGGUGUAGCGGUGGAAUGCGCAGAUAUCAGGAGGAACACCGAUGGCGAAGGCAGUUCUCUGGGCCGUAACUGACGCUGAGGAGCGAAAGCGUGGGGAGCGAACAGGAUUAGAUACCCUGGUAGUCCACGCCGUAAACGUUGGGCGCUAGAUGUGGGGAC